GGGCAGGGAGGGCUGAAAGGAGGGCCAGAGAGAGGAAAAGCAGGAGGGAGAUUUUUGGUUUUCAAUUCCCUGAUGAGGCUGCUGGCGUCCGCGCCCUUAACGCCCCAGCCUUCCAAGUUGAGGCGAAAGCCACCUCCUCGGGCCUGCGUCGCAUCCAACUUACUCCAAGUUUUCUGGUGACUCCUACAGGGCCCCUCUCCGUCCCCCCUCCCCCCUUUGUGAGAUUGACAGUCGCGUGGAGGAGGCUUUUCCAGGCACAGCCUUUCUCAUGGUAAUCAGCCCCCAGCAUCACCUCCCGGUCGCGGCUGCUCCCGCUCGGAGCGCGGCUAGCGGACCCCGGGGACCGGAAACAGGGCGGCGGGCGGGGAGCAGGCGAGCGAGCCAGGCUCAACUCCGAAUGGAUUGGAUUGCGAGUCUGCACGUGAGAAAACCGUUUGGCUUGCCUUGGACCCCUGCCGCCCCCCACCCCCUCCACACACACCCAAUGCAGGGUCCCCUUUAUCACCCUUUGCUUGGAACUCCAAAAGAAGUUGCCCACCUCCUGAGUCACAACACAAGGUCGAAUAAUUCCUCCAGAUGAAAGAUCAGUUCCAUUUCAAAACGAGAAUAGGUUCCUUUUUUUAUUCUCUCCACAUGGUACAAAAUAAACAGAAUUUGCUUUAAAAAAAAUCA